rnacentral:rRNA from 1 species
UACGUAGGUGGCAAGCGUUGUCCGGAUUUAUUGGGCGUAAAGAGCGCGCAGGCGGUUCUCCAAGUCCGUUGUGAAAGCCCCGGGCUCAACCUGGGAAUGGCAGUGGAAACUAGGGGACUUGAAUCUGGCAGAGGGGGGUGGAAUUCCACGUGUAGCAGUGAAAUGCGUAGAGAUGUGGAGGAACACCGAUGGCGAAGGCAGCCCCCUGGGCUGAGAUUGACGCUCAGGCACGAAAGCGUGGGGAGCAAACAGG